GCCAGAGUGAGGUAAGUGGUACGCCUCUCGUUCUCAAAAAUCGAGGUUUGCAGGUUCGAAUCCUGCCUCUGGCACCA
rnacentral:tRNA from 1 species